UUGGGAAAUUAGGAGCUUCAGGUUUUUGCUUCUUUGUUUCUGUCUCCUUUGCCUUUUGGAUUUGUGAUUUAUAACACUAUAUUGGAAGUUUUUAGAACCAAAUUCAUGUUAAAUGUUGCCCAAGAUCGUACCUAUCUGAAUGAUAUAAAUGGAAUCCUGAGGCAGUUUGUUCUUCAGACUCCAGACGUCUGCAUACAGCUGGGGUGGUCAGUAUUAUAGCCAAAAUGGCCAAAAUGGGUGCUUUGGCUCUGUGCUGUCCAGAUCCCUUGGCACAUACUUGAGAUACCAUCUCAUAUUCACUUUGUACAAAGUUCAGUGUACUAGUCCCAUUUUAUGCAUAUAUGGGCGCCAUUAACUUACAAAAUGGACAAACAUAGCAUGGAAAGGCACUUGGAGAGAGAAGACUAGGCAAGUGAGUGGCUUCAACUUUGAAAGAACCAAGCCGCAUAUAAGGGUCUUGCCCUGCUUUGUGAACGCAGAGAUGCCUUUACUGGUGAAGUUGAAAGGAUACUAUAAUCACCUCAGUAUAAUUCAUUAGAGUAGAUUAAAUUAAAAUUUAGAUGAAAAUCAUGAUUUCUUAUUGAAAUGAUUUAAUUAGAUUAUAGUCCCUAAAGUUGAGUAAUUGAGUCUCAAGGCGACAAGGGACUUUAACAAGCCAUUAAAACUAUCCUUCUGUGUGGAGUUGGAUUAAGGAACCAACAGCAAGUCUGUUCAGGGACCUGGCAUCAGUCUCUAAGGAUACAAGAACGUUAUUUCAAGAAAUACAGGGCAGCUAACUCUGGCUUUCACAUACAACCCAUAUAAGAGUUCACAGGACAGUGGUGACGAUACUGAGUAGAAGACAAAGUCAUAACAUCACUGUACAUUUGAAUGGAGGGGAUUUAGAAACCAUCCACCCAGUGCAUGAAUUCCUCUCUACAACAUCACAGAUGUUGGGGAAAGACCUUUACAUACGUACCCUCAUCUAAAUCCAUUUGAAGGAUCGUAAACCAUUUUAAGGAUAAAGUAAUGAAACUUCCAUGGGGACCGAGAGCUACUUAGUUCUAUCUGAAACUAAAUACACUUCUCGUGGUGUCACCAGAAUCGGAUGUGUUUUCAGAUCUCCGGAUGAAGCUGCAUUUUUGACAAAGGUGAAGAACCACAAUGACCUUGCAAAGCGGAAAGGCCUGACCCAAUGAUUUUUUACUAAUCGCAACUUUACGAACAAAACUAAGCCGAGAACGGCCAAAUUCCAGAAAAUGUUCUUAAUGGACACUAACAGGAGCAAAAUGACAGGCAUAGAAAUGACAACAUGGAAUCCCAAAAUUCUGAAGCAGAGAACUAACAUCACAAAGCAACCAAGUAACCUGAAAUAUAAGAAGAGACAGGUCCCUCCAAAGAGAAAGGAAGUGAUCUCUGGCUCAGUUCUAAGAGAAUAUGUGGGGAAGAGAUGCUGAGCACCAUGCCAAGAAACACUGAGUUGGAAGCACUCAAAGUUUUCCAUUGUAAGAAAGCCAAGAAAAUGGAGACAAAACUGCCUCUUAGGCACAAAGAAGGACAAGAGCAGAAGAUGGAGAAGAGAUGUUAUGAAAACUCUCCAGCAACCCAGCCAUACCAUAUACAUAAGGUAAUUCUAGAAAGAUUUGCAAUGGGUUGUGCACAGAAGGUGAUCAUAGCAACAACACACAAAUACAAAACAGCUUACUCCUGACUACUUGGAUACACACUCCAACAUUUAUGACCUAGUAGAAAAACCUUGCCCAUUUCUGGACAUAACUUCUGUUUACUUCAGUCUUUACUGUUGAACAUAAAUGUGAACAUUUAUAAGAAAAAAAAAAUCUCCUGUUAAGAGACAAAGGAAUAAUC